rnacentral:lncRNA from 1 species
CCUUAAAUAAACUGGUGAAAUUAAUUUUUAAUACUUUGUUUAACCUAGUAUAUCCAAAAUAUUAUUUCAACAUGCAAUCGCUGUAUGAUUGUUAAUGAGAUAUUUCACGUCGUUUCUUAUUGAAUCUUUGUGAUCUCAUGUGUAUUUUACAGCACAUCUUAAUUUCAGCUCACCACAAUCCGAGUGCUCAACAGCCACACGUGACCAGAGGCUGCAGUGUUGGACAGCAGAGCUCUCGGGCAAUGGUUUCCAGUGCAAGUCUGCCAGUCUACGAUGAAAAGAUUAUCUGAAUAGGCUGAGCCAUCAGUGGAAAGAGAGGCUGAGCAUCUCAAAAACAGAACAGCUGGGAGUAUGGAGCCAAUGUGACACUCAGGUGGAGUUAGACUUACAGUUUCCAAGCAUCAGUCCUUGGACCAGAUGUUUCAUAAUCCCCUGGGGAGCUGGUUAAAUAUGGAUUACUGGGUCCCAUCCUAUAUUUGUUCAAUCAGAAUAUCCUAAGAAAGCAGGUCUCAGGAAAAUACAGUAUGUUUUAAAGCUCCCUAUAUAUACUUUAUGGGCUGUCAGAUUUGGGGACCAUGGGAUUAGGCAGCCACCUAAAUGGAAUGACAUAAAGAAAGCCAAAAGAUUUUCUUAUGACAUGAUUUGUUUCCCUCAUGACCUUCCAUUCACAGAUCCAUUCAUCCAUCUGUCCAG